rnacentral:rRNA from 1 species
UACGUAGGGGGCAAGCGUUGUCCGGAAUCAUUGGGCGUAAAGAGCGUGUAGGCGGCCAGGUAGGUCGGUUGUGAAAACUGGAGGCUCAACCUUCAGAGGUCGACCGAAACCAUCUGGCUAGAGUCCGGGAGAGGAGAGUGGAAUUCCUGGUGUAGCGGUGAAAUGCGCAGAUAUCAGGAAGAACACCCGUGGCGAAAGCGGCUCUCUGGAACGGUACUGACGCUGAGGCACGAAAGCGUGGGGAGCAAACAGG